UAGAGAAUUUAGCUCCUGAAGCCGAGAUC
rnacentral:piRNA from 1 species